GGAAUGGCAAUGAUAGGUGAUUCAGUGAUUUGAGCCAUACUGCCAAUAAAGAGAGAUGAGUUCACGAGGAUGACGUCCUUCAAUUGUACCAUGAAUUUCUGUUGUUUUGGGCACUACGAGUGGGGCUUCCUCAUGCAAUAUGUAGAUUCUUUCACAUACAUACAUAAAAAAUUUUUUUUUUAAAAAAAAGAGAUUGAAAAGAUAAAUAAAUAUGUUAAAAAAUGUGUUUAUAAUAAUACAAGUAAAUAAUUUUUUGAUAAAUAAUUACCAUCCAAACGGAAAAAGUAUUUAAGGAGUUUACAAGUUUUUAAGAAAUGAAAAUUAAUACUACUCAGAGCAUUUUACCGGAAAAAAAAUAAAAACUACAACUCAUUAGCUACAGCUAUCUUUACUCCGAUCUACUCUAUAAAUAAGAACAACACUUUCACUUAAAAAAAAAAAGAAAAAGAAAAAAGAAAGAAUAAUACAUCGAUGAUGUCCAAUGACACGACGGACUUAGCAGAAUGAAGCGGCCUGCAAUGGCUGUGAAUCCGUUCCCUUUCAAAACGACAAAACCAGCAAGUCCGUUGCCCCAGCGCUCGCCUCUUACAAAAGGCAAUACCGACACAUCCGGCGCAGCAGGUUCGAGACAGCUCAAAAGGCAGCCCGCCAGAAAAGUGAAAGAGAUGGUAACCAGUAGGACAAAACUUCGCAUGAUUGACCUUUCAACGAGGAUCUGUCCUCUUGCUAUUAUUUCCCUCCCAAUGCAAUUCCGGAGGAGCCAUCCCAAUCGUCAAUACAUCCUUCCAAUCUUGUGCAUGUGCACUUCCUCCUUGAUGGCCUACUGUGUCGCAGUUGACGUGUGCAUCCCCAUUCGUCUAUUCUCACCGGCAUAAACAUUUUACACUCAAUUUUGUAUCUGCACUAACAAACUGUUCCCCUAAUAUGUCUUUACAGGCUACUCAGAUGCCAAGGAAAAUUAAAUAUCUUCAAGAGGGAACAAUAGGUUCCACUCUGCCUUUCCCACAGUUCUAUAACUGCCCUUUUUUGCUGUCUUCUCUGGACGAGUUCUAUUUUCAUUCCAUCUUUUACUAUUUCAAUGCAAACUUGGGCCAAAAAAAAAAAAAGGGUUCAUGAAUCCACCAAGUUAAGGUAUUUAAAUUUUCUGGCACAAUUUCACCACCAAAGUAUUCCUUUAAAAUUCCUAAAGCUUUGCCUUCAACAAUGAUGACCAUCCAAUCUGCAGCCUAUGUCAGAUAGUGAAGCAGCAAAAAGAUAAAAGAGGAAAGUAGAAAACAAGGCAGCUAAACGUGAUGCGUGAAAUUUCAACUGUCAGUCGCACUCGUAUGGUUUCUAACUUGUCCGACACUGGCGCGCACAGUUUUGCUAACACUCUAGAUUUUACUGCACUUUUGUCUACAAAGAGAUGUCUAAAUGCUACUGAUAGGAUAGACGAAAACCACUACUCUGCAAAAGGAAGGAAGAUGGAACUUCAUUAUGAUUACAAAGAGCGCUAUGGUGAGAAAACUAAGCAAUCUUUAACCAAAUUCAAUGAAGCCAAGAACAGAAUGACACUGAGGAAGCAUAUAGUGAAACAGUGUUUCACACUGGCAAAUGUCUAAGAAAUGCAAAAGCUAAUACAAUCAACUCAGAACAAGUUACCCUUGGAAGGCACUAUUACCUCACCAACAGCACUGAUCAAGCAAAUAAAUUUCUUCAUUAGCUUGCAACUCUUCAGGCGAAAGAUUGUAAAAAAUUUUAAGCUAAAGUGCUGAUUACCAAGCAACAGAGUGAAGUACAUUCAUGAUACUUUAGGACCAUGAUUAACAAAAUUUUCCGGCUCAAAAGCCAAAUAAUGGCAGAAGAAGGAUAAAGUAACUUCUCUUACCUCAUCACAUGUCACAGGAAGAAUCAAGAGGAACACUGAGGUGUUGUAAUCAACUCUCAUGCUGUUAACCUCCUCAUUCAACUACUUGGGCAUUACUUUCACUAGUAGCAAGCUAACAGCUAUUGACUAGCAGUAGAAAGAAUAACAGUGUAACUCAACCUCCUCAGGCACCACUUUGGCAGAAUUCUAUACAACAGCAAGCCUCAAAUAUGAAAUCUCUUCCAGGACCAUAAAUCUCAUGUCGCAAAUCCAUUUGCAGAUACCCUCUCCACUCUGCUAUCCUUCACAUAGAGUGGUAUCCUCACACCAAGAUCCCUAAGUCGAUUAACCACGUCGUAGAGAAACUCAAAUGUGAGUUUUGAUUGUGCAUUAAGGUCAUCUCUUACAUUUGGAUGCACCCUGAACCAAUCUCCUAGCAUCUUAUGCACAUGGGAACGAAUCAUUCUCCAUGGCUGUUUUAGAUGGGUAAAAAAAUAAUGGGAACGAAUCAUCAUUAUAGCUGUUUUAGAUGGGUAAAAAAAAUCAAAUCUUUUCUUCAGACAAGGAUAGGGUUGUUUUGGAGUUGAGGCUCCAAAUAAGUCUGAUGUUGAUGCAUUCUAAGUAACUUUUAAGCUGAAUUACGAGCUCAAGACGAUUAAGCCGAGUUACAUAAUACCUAGUAGGCUCAAGCUUACGUAUCAACUAGUAUUUUAACCUGUGCUAUGCACAGGUUUAUAUGAGAAUGAUGGAAAAUAU
rnacentral:lncRNA from 1 species